rnacentral:rRNA from 1 species
CCUACGGGAGGCAGCAGUGGGGAAUAUUGCACAAUGGGGGAAACCCUGAUGCAGCGACGCAGCGUGAGUGAAGAAGUAUUUCGGUAUGUAAAGCUCUAUCAGCAGGGAAGAAACCCACCCUCCGGGGUGGCUGACGGUACCUGACUAAGAAGCCCCGGCUAACUACGUGACAGCAGCCGCGGUAAUACGUAGGGGGGAAGCGUUAUCCGGAUUUACUGGGUGUAAAGGGAGAGUAGGUGGGAAGGCAAGUCAGUGGUGAAAACCCCGGGGCCAACCCCGGGAGUGCAUUUGAAACUGUCUGGCUAGAGUGCAGGAGAGGUAAGUGGAAUUCCUGGUGUAGCGGUGAAAUGCAUAGAUAUUAGGAGGAACACCAGUGGCGAAGGCGGCUUACUGGACUGUAACUGACACUGAGGCUCGAAAGCGUGGGGAGCAAACAGGAUUAGAUACCCCAGUAGUC